UCUCCGUAGGUGAACCUGCGGAGGGAUCAUUACCGAGUGAGGGCCUCCGGGUCCGACCUCCAACCCUUUGUCUACCGACCCUGUUGCCUCGGGGGUGACCCGCGCGUCUUCGGCGCCGGGGCCCCCGGUGGACCAACCCAUAACACUGCAUCUUUGCGUCGGAUAUUAAUGAAAAUAAAUAAAAACUUUCAACAACGGAUCUCUUGGUUCUGGCAUCGAUGAAGAACGCAGC
rnacentral:misc_RNA from 1 species